rnacentral:rRNA from 1 species
GAUGAACGCUGGCGGCGUGCCUAAUACAUGCAAGUCGAGCGAACAGACGAGGAGCUUGCUCCUCUGACGUUAGCGGCGGACGGGUGAGUAACACGUGGAUAACCUACCUAUAAGACUGGGAUAACUUCGGGAAACCGGAGCUAAUACCGGAUAAUAUAUUGAACCGCAUGGUUCAAUAGUGAAAGACGGUUUUGCUGUCACUUAUAGAUGGAUCCGCGCCGCAUUAGCUAGUUGGUAAGGUAACGGCUUACCAAGGCAACGAUGCGUAGCCGACCUGAGAGGGUGAUCGGCCACACUGGAGCUGAGACACGGUCCAGACGCCUACGGUAGGCAGCAGUAGGGAAUCUUCCGCAAUGGUCGAAAGCCUGACGGAGCAACGCCGCGUGAGUGAUGAAGGUCUUCGGAUCGUAAAACUCUGUUAUUAGGGAAGAACAAAUGUGUAAGUAACUAUGCACUUCUUGACGGUACCUAAUCAGAAAGCCACGGCUAACUACGUG